GCUUUUCUCACCCUUUCACAGCCAUUCUUUUCUCCUUACCAUCCACCUCUGUUCAAAGAAGGCUCCAAGCAACCUUCUAAUUUGAUUCCAGGAAUAGAUGAUGAAUGCUGCUGAAGCCUAAAACUUUACAUGGAUUAGUUUUUAAUCCCUAAAAGGCCCCCACUUCACUCAACUUCAUAUCCUGACAGAUCAUCACAAACAAUGACCUUGAAUGCAGCUCCAGAAGUCCAUGUGAAUGCAGCACAGCCAUCUUACCUAAAGAUGGACAGACUGCAGACAGAGUGAGCCUGACCUUCACGCUGGGAGGUGUGAUGGAUGCCCACAGACACCCUGCAGCAGUGGAGCUGGCAGGAUUGAUGAAUAGAAGAUUGAAGAAGGAAUGCUGAAAAGUAUUCAUACAAACGUCAAAGAUCAAAAAUAACUUUAUUCAUCCACAAAGGUAUCUUAUCAGUCAGAAUGGAUGCUCCAGUAAAUAUGUGUGCUGAAGACAUAACUCUAUUAAUAAAAACAAACAACUUUCAAUACUAUUGCAAACAAAGGAACAGAAACGUUAUCAAGUGAAUUAUAAUAUUGUAUAAAUCAAUGAUGUGUCCUUGUCUGGAAUACUAUCAUCAACAAAAGAAACUGUAGCAGGAAUGGACUUGUGUGGAAUAUGAAUAAGCAGUGUUACUGAAAACAUAGAG